rnacentral:lncRNA from 1 species
GACCAGCAACUAUUUGCUGAUUUUUCUUUUAAAUCUGUUUGGGUUAGCCUGAGACUUUUUGAUCAAUUCGCAUAAAAACUAUAUUCAAUUUUUGAUACUGACUAUCAAAGUUAGGUCUGAUAAUGUUGUCACUGUCUAACAGUGAACAAAGCGACAAUAUUCUAAUCAUUUCUGAAAAGAAAAUAAUUAACCUAUCAAUAUAUGAACUACAUUAAGCCUGAAGACUUAGACUUUAGUCUAAAGAUUCUUCUAUAAUUUUAUAUGAAUUGGUAGCCUCUACCUUCAAUCCAAAAAAUUACUUUAAUUUUUUUAGUAGGUACUAGAAUCCACACAGACUGCAUUCAGACCUGAGUGUGGCUCGACCAACUCUAGUGCAUCCAUGGGUAUGUUUAUAACUAAUUAUUUCUCCAAACAAUUUCUAGCAAUCAGAUUUUAUCCCAGAUAUCUCUUCAGCAGACGUGUGGUGCCUCCACUGAAAAAUCUGAUUAGGUCUAACCAUUAAUAUGACAACAUCAGGUGCAUCCAAUAAAUAAAUAUUCAAGCUCGAGUAUGGCUCGACCA